UCGGGUUUUCAAAAGCUACACUCUUAUAAUUUAAAAAAAAAAAAAAAACUAAUUUUACUUAACUAAAUACGCGAAUAUAAUAUUAUUUUUAUGAAAUUUUAAACCCCGCAAUAAUUAUAAUUAAUUUUGUAAAUGUAACAACAAUUUUGUAAAGUCACAGAGAAUCCAACGGUUUGGACGUAUUGUGACGAGAAGACCGGAAUCAGUGUAAUUACUUACACCUAAAGCCGGUUGUUGAGCGGAGACUUAUUCAAAAUAAAGAGAGACGUCCAGAGAAACGAUUGAUGGAUUGAUGGAAGAAGUGAAUUGGCAAGAAAAGUGGAAGGUAAAAAAUUCCCGAAACAUAAACACCAC